AUUGAACGCUGGCGGAAUGCUUUACACAUGCAAGUCGAGCGGCAGCGCGGGGGCAACCCUGGCGGCGAGCGGCGAACGGGUGAGUAACAUAUCGGAACGUACCCCGUCGUGGGGGAUAACACAGCGAAAGCUGUGCUAAUACCGCAUACGACCUGAGGGUGAAAGCGGGGGAUCGCAAGACCUCGCGCGAUGGGAGCGGCCGAUAUCGGAUUAGCUUGUUGGUGAGGUAAAGGCUCACCAAGGCGACGAUCCGUAGCUGGUCUGAGAGGACGACCAGCCACACUGGAACUGAGACACGGUCCAGACUCCUACGGGAGGCAGCAGUGGGGAAUUUUGGACAAUGGGGGCAACCCUGAUCCAGCCAUUCCGCGUGAGUGAAAAAGGCCUCGGUGUAAGACUCUUCGUCCGGGUACGGAAAGUACGCAUGGUUAAGUACCUACGUGUCGGAGUGACGGUACCGGCGAC
rnacentral:rRNA from 1 species